AUUGAACGCUGGCGGCAGGCCUAACACAUGCAAGUCGAACGAGUGGCGGACGGGUGAGUAAUGUCUGGGAAACUGCCUGAUGGAGGGGGCUAACUACUGGAAACGGUAGCUAAUACCGCAUACCAUCGGAUGUGCCCAGAUGGGAUUAGCUAGUAGGUGGGGUAAAGGCUCACCUAGGCGACGAUCCCUAGAUGGUCUUAGAGGAUGACCAGCCAAACUGGAACUGAGACCAGGACAAGACUCCGACGGGAGGCAGCAGUGGGGAAUAUUGCACAAUGGGCGCAAGCCUGAUGCAGCCAUGCCGCGUGUAUGAAGAAGGCCUUCGGGUUUUAAAGUACUUUCAGCGGGGAGGCGUUACCCGCAGAAGAAGCACCGGCUAACUCCGUGCCAGCAGCCGCGGUAAUUC
rnacentral:rRNA from 1 species